UCGAGAAUUUUUCACAAUGGGCGCAAGCCUGAUGGAGCGACGCCGCGUGGGGGAUGAAGGGUUUCGAUCCGUAAACCCCUGUCAUUUGCGAACAAUGGCUAUUCAAUAACACUGGAUGGCUUGAUAGUAGUGAAAGAGGAAGGGACGGCUAACUCUGUGCCAGCAGCCGCGGUAAUACAGAGGUCCCAAGCGUUGUUCGGAUUCACUGGGCGUAAAGGGUGCGUAGGUGGCCGGGUAAGUUCGAUGUGAAAGCUCGGAGCUCAACUCCGAAAAGGCAUUGAAUACUAUCCGGCUGGAGGGUCGGAGGGGAGACUGGAAUUCUCGGUGUAGCAGUGAAAUGCGUAGAUAUCGAGAGGAACACCAGUGGCGAAGGCGAGUCUCUGGACGACUCCUGACACUGAGGCACGAAAGCCAGGGGAGCAAACAG
rnacentral:rRNA from 1 species